rnacentral:rRNA from 1 species
CCCUUAGAUGUCCUGGGCCGCACGCGUGCUACACUGACGCAUACAGCGAGCACUUUCCAGUUCCGAGAGGCUACUGGUAAUCAUCAAUAUGCGUCGUGAUGGGGAUAGAUCUUUGGAAUUCUGGAUCUUGAACGAGGAAUGCCUAGUAAUCGCAGGUCAUUAGCCUGCGAUGAUUAAGUCCCUGCCCUUUGUACACACCGCCCGUCGCUACUACCGAUUUCGAGUGGUCAGGUGAAUCUUUCGGACUGUGGGCGCCCUUGAGGUGUUCGCGGAAAGUCAGGUAAAUCUUAUCACUUAGAGGAAGUAAAANUCGUAACA